AGUGAACGCUGGCGGCAGGCCUAACACAUGCAGGUCGAACGGCAGCACAGUAAGAGCUUGCUCUGACGGGUGGCGAGUGGCGGACGGGUGAGGAAUACAUCGGAAUCUACUUUUUCGUGGGGGAUAACGUAGGGAAACUUACGCUAAUACCGCAUACGACCUACGGGGGAAAGCAGGGGAUCUUCGCGCCUGUCGCGGUUGAAUGAGCCGCUGUCGGUUUGGCUGGUGGGCGGGGUAAAGGCCCACCAAGGCGAGGAUCCGCUGCUGGACUGUGAGGAUGGUCGGCGACACGGGAGCUGGGACACGCUCAAUGCUCCUACGGGAGGCAGCAGUGUGGAAUAUGGGACAAUGGGCGCAAGCAUGAUCCAGCCAUACCGAGUGGGUGAAGGAGGCGUUCGGGUUGUAAAGACCUUUUGUUGGGAAAGAAAAGCAGCAGGUUAAUACCCCGCUGUUCUGACGGUACCCAAAGAAUAAGCACCGGCUAACUUCGUG
rnacentral:rRNA from 1 species